UGAGUAUAACGUUUACGAGCAUAUGGUGAUUACUAAGAUCAAAGAUGGUGUAAACGUUGCUGCAUCUCAUCCUCUAAUAUCAGGCGGUUUAGCCUUUGGUGUUGGAGUCUUUGCUCUGAAAA